rnacentral:lncRNA from 1 species
GGAUGGAAUGGUUGUGUUAGUUUAAAGGAACCUCAAAGUUUGUUUUGUUCUCUAUUUGCAGGGCACAAUGCCUAUGUUAUAUAGGCAAGCUGAAGCUGGAGUGGAAAAGGAAAGUUCCUACUGCAAAAGCAGCAAAGUUGGAAUGUGCUGUGAAGACUCAAGAUUGCUUUUCAGCUCUGUAGGUGUGGAUGGACUUUCUAAUGGGAAAGAAUGGAUGUAGAAGGGGGAAAUCACUAAAAUGGUGGUCAAAGUUUCUGGAAGUGGCCAUGAAAGCUAUGCUACAGUUCCAUCCACUACUGAGAAUCUGGCAUGUGAAUACACAGGAGUUCCUGAAAUUCAAGACUUCUGGAAGAAUCCUGAACUGAGACCUUAAAGUCACUGGUAAGUUUGAUGAACCACAGACCAUUGCUUGAGCCUAUUUGCCAUUUUAUACUUUGGUAAAAAAGAGUCUGGAGGACAAAGCAGCUUUUCAGGGUGAAAUCUGUCAAGUCCAAAGCAGAUCUCCUCUUAGCUAUGUGGGGGAAAGCCUCACUCUAAGGCUUCAGGUUGCCUGCUUUUAGCUCAGAUCUCUGCCUCCCCUCCCAUUCCAGCUCAUCUCUGCUGUGAUGCUGUGACACGUAAUAUCACUCCUGGUAACCUUAUUAGCAGAGCCAAUUGUCUGAAGACAUUUGUAUGGGAGGCUGCUUGCCAUUCACUGUAUGAGCUAUGGCCCUAUUGUUUGUGACAGCACUAGGUGACCUAAUUCACUCCAGUGGGCCCAUCAUGCACAUACUCACAGGGUGAUUUUCCCCUCUGACAAGUCAUUGUCAGCAUUCUUCCCCCAGUACUCUGCUAGUCCUAGCCUCACAUUCACACAAACACACAACUACACAUAGACAGGGCCCUUCCUGAGAGCUGGUCUAGAUAAUGCAUAUUUACACAGGCACAGUGAGCACACAACAUGAGCUUAAAGCUACUUGGACUGGCUUUAAGCUUUUAACAUAACAAAAUGUAGUGUUGAGAGUUUAGCAUUGGCUAAGUCUGUUAUUUUAGCUUCUCCAACCAACAAUAAAGUGAGAAGCAAAAAUUUUGCUGAUAUUGAGGUGUUGAUUGCACUGUUAUGCCACAGUGAUGAGCCUAAGGACCCUAUUUUGUAAUGAUUUUG